GACGAACGCUGGCGGCGUGCUUAACACAUGCAAGUCGAACGGAAAGGCCCUGCUUGCCGGGUACUCGAGUGGCGAACGGGUGAGUAACACGUGGGUGAUCUGCCCUGCACUUCGGGAUAAGCUUGGGAAACUGGGUCUAAUACCGGAUAGGAACCAUCUUUAGUGUGGUGGUUGGAAAGUUUUUUCGGUGUAGGAUGAGCUCGCGGCCUAUCAGCUUGUUGGUGGGGUAAUGGCCUACCAAGGCGGCGACGGGUAGCCGGCCUGAGAGGGUGUACGGCCACAUUGGGACUGAGAUACGGCCCAGACUCCUACGGGAGGCAGCAGGGGGGAAUAUUGCACAAUGGGCGCAAGCCUGAUGCAGCGACGCCGCGUGGGGGAUGAAGGCCUUCGGGUUGUAAACUCCUUUCGCUAGGGACGAAGCUUUUUGUGACGGUACCUAGAUAAGAAGCACCGGCUAACUACGUG
rnacentral:rRNA from 1 species